CUGGAAAAGACAAUGAUGUUUUAUUUCCAAGCACAUAUCUGAGUUGUGUGUGUGGACAGUACUAAAACUGAGUCUUUUCCAC
ensembl:snoRNA SNORD121B small nucleolar RNA, C/D box 121B